GCCGAAGUGGUGGAAUUGGCAGACGCAACGGACUCAAAAUCCGUCGGUAGCAAUAUCGUGCGGGUUCAAGUCCCGCCUUCGGCA
rnacentral:tRNA from 1 species